AAAGCUAUUGUAUACUAAGAUCAAAUCAAAUUAGUUCUAGUAUCAACAGUAGGGAAAAAAAUGAUUUUUUUGAAUAGCUAUCACUUUCAUAUCUUGAUUGUAUUGGCAAGUAUAAUACUAGCAAGUCUUGUGAGCACCUGUAUAGUAGAUCAGAAGUAUCAAAUCAAUCUAGAUUGUUAGUUCACAAAAGUAAAACUUGUGAGUCCAUCUCAGUGGAAGAAGAUUUCGCCUCAACCAACAACUGUGGCCGUGCAAUCUCAAGAACGUUUAGAUCCUUGAUAGCUUUGAUUUGGAAAAUCGAAAGACCAGCAAAGGGCAAAACAGAUGCAAUAUAGAUGAAGGUUGGAACCUCCAUGAAUGACAUUUUGGCUCCUUUGACACUGUGAUUUGUUCAUAGAGCAAAGCAGUGAAAUCCUUCUAUCAAUCGUAAGCUGGCAGUAGUGAUGCAGUUGCUCUUUUCAAUGAUUCGCUGGCUUUCACCAGAUCGGCUUCUG
rnacentral:misc_RNA from 1 species